rnacentral:rRNA from 1 species
GGCAGGCUUAACACAUGCAAGUCGAGCGGUAGCAGAUCUAGCUUGCUAGAUGCUGACGAGCGGCGGACGGGUGAGUAACGCGUAGGAACCUGCCCAGUAGUGGGGGAUAGCCCGGGGAAACUCGGAUUAAUACCGCAUACGCUCUACGGAGGAAAAGAGGGCUUCGGGCUCUCGCUAUUGGAUGGGCCUGCGUGAGAUUAGCUAGUUGGUGAGGUAAUGGCUCACCAAGGCGACGAUCUCUAGCUGGUCUGAGAGGAUGAUCAGCCACACUGGGACUGAGACACGGCCCAGACUCCUACGGGAGGCAGCAGUGGGGAAUAUUGCACAAUGGGCGCAAGCCUGAUGCAGCCAUGCCGCGUGUGUGAAGAAGGCUUUCGGGUUGUAAAGCACUUUCAGUGGGGAGGAAGGCAUCGUAGUUAAUAGCUGCGAGGAUUGACGUUACCCACAGAAGAAGCACCGGCUAACUCCGUG